rnacentral:rRNA from 1 species
AUUGAACGCUGGCGGCAUGCCUUACACAUGCAAGUCGAACGGCAGCGCGGACUUCGGUCUGGCGGCGAGUGGCGAACGGGUGAGUAAUACAUCGGAACGUACCCUGUUGUGGGGGAUAACUAGUCGAAAGAUUAGCUAAUACCGCAUACGACCUGAGGGUGAAAGUGGGGGACCGCAAGGCCUCACGCAGCAGGAGCGGCCGAUGUCUGAUUAGCUAGUUGGUGGGGUAAAGGCCCACCUAGGCGACGAUCAGUAGCUGGUCUGAGAGGACGAUCAGCCCCACUGGGACUGAGACACGGCCCAGACUCCUACGGGAGGCAGCAGUGGGGAAUUUUGGACAAUGGGGGCAACCCUGAUCCAGCAAUGCCGCGUGUGUGAAGAAGGCCUUCGGGUUGUAAAGCACUUUUGCCCGGAAAGAAAUCGCGCUGGUUAAUACCUGGCGUGGAUGACGGUACCGGAAGAAUAAGCACCGGCUAACUACGUGCCAGCAGCCGCCGUAA